GGUGAAAGGUAUACCACUGUCAAACACAAUAAAACAGCGGAAAAUGCAACUGAAAAGGGCACUAGUACUAUUCCUUUAACGGAAAGCAUAACUGUUAAUUAUGAUAUAAGAGAUGACAGAAACCUCAUCCAAAUUAUAUUCGGGCUGUCUAUACUCUGCCUUACAUUGAUUAUAUCAUUAGCUGUGUUUUGUGGAAUAAAGCUAUACAACAUGUGCAAAAGAACGAGCAUAAUGAUAACACCAUCUGAAAUCGAAUCGACAGAAGCAAGGUAUGAAACGAUUGAAGAAACUGAAAUUGUUGAUAUCCAACAAUUUGGCGAAACACCAAUAACAAUAGCUUGUUCUGAAAACCAAAACCUAUCCUUGGAGAGAUUAGAACUAGAGCUUUUAAGUAGUGAUGAUUCGUUGUCUACAGAUCGUUCGUCAGGUCAUUCACAUUAUCAAUAUUGCACAAAUUCAUACGAGUCUGUACAUGCUGCAAAUUUAAUUGACAGCAAUGCACAUACAUAUGCUUCAGGAAUCCAUGAAAAACAAUAUGAAGGCAGAGAAACACUGAAAAAAAUCAAAAGUGCGCCAUUUUGAUACACAUUUAUUUUUUCAUAAAUAUAUAUGUACAGUGUUUUUCAAGAGACAUCUUUGAUCAUCAAUUAAUAAAAUGGCUUUAAAACCUAAA